AUUGAACGCUGGCGGCAGGCCUAACACAUGCAAGUCGAACGAGUGGCGGACUGGUGAGUAAUGUCUGGUAAACUGCCUGAUGGAGGGGGAUAACUACUGGAAACUGUAGCUAAUACCGCAUACCAUCGGAUGUGCCCAGAUGGGAUUAGCUUGUUGGUGGGGUAACGGCUCACCAAGGCGACGAUCCCUAACUGGUCUGAGAGGAUGACCAGCCAGACUGGAACGGAGACAAGGUCCAGACACCUACGGAAGGCAGCAGUGGGGAAUAUUGCACAAUGGGCGCAAGCCUGAUGCAGCCAUGCCGCAUGUAUGAAGAAGGCCUUCGGGUUGUAAAGUACUUUCAGCGGGGAGGCGUUACCCGCAGAAGAAGCACCGGCUAACUCCGUGCCAGCAGCCGCGGUAAUUC
rnacentral:rRNA from 1 species